ACUUCCGCAUGGACGAAAGUCUGACGGAGCACGCCGCGUGAGUGAUGAAGGUUUUCGGAUCGUAAAGCUCUGUUGUUAGGGAAGAACAAGUACCGUUCGAAUAGGGCGGUACCUUGACGGUACCUAACCAGAAAGCCACGGCUAACUACGUGCCAGCAGCCGCGGUAAUACGUAGGUGGCAAGCGUUGUCCGGAAUUAUUGGGCGUAAAGGGCUCGCAGGCGGUUUCUUAAGUCUGAUGUGAAAGCCCCCGGCUCAACCGGGGAGGGUCAUUGGAAACUGGGGAACUUGAGUGCAGAAGAGGAGAGUGGAAUUCCACGUGUAGCGGUGAAAUGCGUAGAGAUGUGGAGGAACACCAGUGGCGAAGGCGACUCUCUGGUCUGUAACUGACGCUGAGGAGCGAAAGCGUGGGGAGCGAACAGGAUUAGAUACCCUGGUAGUCCACGCCGUAAACGAUGAGUGCUAAGUGUUAGGGGGUUUCCGCCCCUUAGUGCUGCAGCUAACGCAUUAAGCACUCCGCCUGGGGAGUACGGUCGCAAGACUGAAACUCAAAGGAAUUGACGGGGGCCCGCACAAGCGGUGGAGCAUGUGGUUUAAUUCGAAGCACGCGAANAACCUUACCAGGUCUUGACAUCCUCUGACAAUCCUAGAGAUAGGACGUCCCCUUC
rnacentral:rRNA from 1 species